CAAUACAGGGCUAAUGUCUUGUAAUUGGAAUGAUGGUGACCCAAACCCUCACCAGAGUAGCAAUUGGAGGGCAAGUCUGGUGCCAGCAGCCGCGGUAAUUCCAGCUCCAAUAGCGUAUAUUAAACUUGUUGCAGUUAAAAAGCUCGUAGUUGAACUUUAGCGUGUUCGAGUUUGCCAUUCGUUUGGCCUUUUCGAGUUCGCUUUUGGGUUUUCCCUUUUUACUUUGAGAAAAUUAGAGUGUUUCAAGCAGACUUUUGUCUUGAAUACUUCAGCAUGGAAUAAUAGAGUAGGACUUUGGUUCUAUUUUGUUGGUUAUUGAACCUUAGUAAUGGUUAAUAGG
rnacentral:rRNA from 1 species